UCCAUCAUCACCAUCCGUGCAAAAUUCUCCCUGCGCUCCGCUUCCUUUGCCUGGGACAAGGAGCGGUGUUGUUGGGGGUAUUAAACAGACAGAAGAGAAGAGAGUCAACCUGAGAGAGCCUCACCUAAUAUCUACCGCCAUUCCCCACCAUUGUGACCAUUUCUUUCAUGUUAUGUUUUAAUAUAGCAGGCAAGAGUCACAUAGCAUUUGCAAAAUAAUUGUGUGUAUGAUUUGACUAUUAAUGGACAAAUUAGAGGAACUUGAUACCCUGUCAAAAGAUGAGUAACAAUGAGUGUCAAGUUUGGAAAGCACAGUGAGGUAUUUUAAGCUCAGUGUACUGAACAUAUUCUUCUGCAGUUCACAAUGUAAUGGAAAAAGCCUGAUAAACAACUUGACUACAUCACAGGAAAUUUCCAUCAUCGGCAGUCCAAACACAUUAAAAGGAAUUAUGUUAAUGAUAAUGUGUAAAAAGAAUUUGAAAUAAAGAGAAAGCUGUUAAUGCAGACAGUAAAAAUUUAAACCUCAUCAU